rnacentral:rRNA from 1 species
GAUGAACGCUGGCGGCGUGCCUAAUACAUGCAAGUCGAGCGGACGGACGAGAAGCUUGCUUCUCUGAUGUUAGCGGCGGACGGGUGAGUAACACGUGGAUAACCUACCUAUAAGACUGGGAUAACUUCGGGAAACCGGAGCUAAUACCGGAUAAUAUUUUGAACCGCAUGGUUCAAAAGUGAAAGAUGGUCUUGCUGUCACUUAUAGAUGGAUCCGCGCUGCAUUAGCUAGUUGGUAAGGUAACGGCUUACCAAGGCAACGAUGCAUAGCCGACCUGAGAGGGUGAUCGGCCACACUGGAACUGAGACACGGUCCAGACUCCUACGGGAGGCAGCAGUAGGGAAUCUUCCGCAAUGGGCGAAAGCCUGACGGAGCAACGCCGAGUGAGUGAUGAAGGUCUUCGGAUCGUAAAACUCUGUUAUUAGGGAAGAACAUAUGUGUAAGUAACUGUGCACAUCUUGACGGUACCUAAUCAGAAAGCCACGGCUAACUACGUG